GGUGGUAUGGUGUAAUGGAUAGCAUGUAUCGUUGUGGUUUUUCCAAAUCCAGCUCCGAUCCGAUCCCGGUUCGAUUCCGGGUACCGCCA